GCGCUGGUGGUCUAAUGGCUUCAAACUUCUUCAACAGAUGAAAAGAUUGCCGUAAAUGACUGCGGCCUUCCAAGCCGCGUGUCCGGGUUCAAAUCCCGGCCGGCGCA
rnacentral:tRNA from 1 species